UACGUAGGGUGCGAGCGCUAAUCGGAAUUACUGGGCGUAAAGCGUGCGCAGGCGGUUCGUUGUGUCGGCGGUGAAAGCCCCGGGCUCAACCUGGGAAUGGCAUCCGAUACGGCGGGGCUGGAGUGUGGGAGAGGUUGGUGGAAUUCCCAGUGUAGAGGUGAAAUUCGUAGAUAUUGGGAAGAACACCGGUGGCGAAGGCGGCCAACUGGACCACAACUGACGCUGAGGCGCGAAAGCGUGGGGAGCAAACAGG
rnacentral:rRNA from 1 species